rnacentral:rRNA from 1 species
AGGGUUUGAUCCUGGCUCAGAAUGAACGCUGGCGGCGUGCUUUACACAUGCAAGUUGAGCGAGGCCACCCGCAAGGGUGAGUCGAGCGGCGAACGGGUGAGUAACGCGUGAAUGACCUGCCCUUGAGUGGGGAAUAACCCGGGGAAACUCGGGCUAAUACCGCAUACGACCGAGAGGUGAAAGCGGGGUCGCAAGAUCUCGUGCCCAAGGAGGGGUCCGCGUUCGAUUAGCUAGUUGGUAGGGUAAUGGCCUACCAAGGCGACGAUCGAUAGCCGGCCUGAGAGGGUGAUCGGCCACACUGGAACUGAGACACGGUCCAGACUCCUACGGGAGGCAGCAGUGGGGAAUUUUGCGCAAUGGGCUAACGCCUGACGCAGCAACGCCGCGUGGAGGAUGAAGGUCUUUGGAUUGUAAACUCCUGUCAGCAGGGAAAAAGGGAUAGGGCCUAAUACGUCUUAAACUUGAUUGUACCUGCAGAGGAAGCCCCGGCUAACUCUGUGCCAGCAGCCGCGGUAAUACAGAGGGGGCAAGCGUUAUUCGGAAUUAUUGGGCGUAAAGGGCGCGUAGGCGGCUUUUCAAGUGACGGGUGAAAUCCCUCGGCUUAACCGAGGAACUGCCUGUCAGACUGGAAGGCUUGAGACCGGGAGAGGUGAGUGGAAUUCCCAGUGUAGCGGUGAAAUGCGUAGAUAUUGGGAGGAACACCAGUGGCGAAGGCGGCUCACUGGACCGGAACUGACGCUGAGGCGCGAAAGCGUGGGGGGCAAACAGGAUUAGAUACCCUGGUAGUCCACGCCGUAAACGAUGAGUGCUUGGUGUAGCGGGUAUCGACCCCUGCUGUGCCGAAGUCAACACAUUAAGCACUCCGCCUGGGGAGUACGGUCGCAAGACUGAAACUCAAAGGAAUUGACGGGGGCCCGCACAAGCGGUG